rnacentral:lncRNA from 1 species
AUGGGAGAUGACUACACCUUUUCAGAAGUCACAUUUCUGGCAAAUGCUGCUGAUGGUGGUUCCAUUUUAUGUGUAGGGAGGAGAUUCUAUUCUUCCUGUCUUAAAGAUGAAUAAUCUAGGGAGAAAUCAGUUAAAAUGGUCUUGUCCAAGCAGGAAGCAACCCUUGACAUUUUGUCCAGCGUGUUGCUUCAGUCUGUGUAUGUAUGUGUGUGGGGGUCCAGUCUUAGACAUCCCCAACUUCUACUUUUCUAAUUCCUUCUGCAAAGGAGUUAGCAGAAGACAGAACAUCAGUGGAUAUUCCUCUGUCUCCUCUCCCAUUCCCCAACUCUCCACAAAAGAAAUGAAGAUGAGCUCUAGAAGGCCAGAAGGACAUCUCUCCAGGAUCCUUAGAGUCAGAGGCCCAAAGAACCAUGGAUUUGGGGCUUGAAGGGAUCUUGGAGAUCAUGUGGUCCUACCUCUUCAUAUUAGAGAUGAGGAAAUAAGCCUAGAGAGGUUAAAUGACUUACCCCACAUCAAUACUGUCAGCAAACUAAUACAUAAGACUGGGCACAAUUCAUUAGUCAUCUGAUUAACUUAAUUGUGGAGUCUAAUCAGGAAAUGUAGAGUAGGGCAAGGAAGAGGAGGAAGGAGCAAGAAAACUGAAGAAGAAAAUGGGUAUUUUAGAUUUCUCAUUUUGUUAAUGUGGACAAGAUUAGCAAGCUAAAAUUUGCAUAAAUCUUCACAGAAACUUUUAAUUCAACUAAUUUCUAAAAUACUACAAGUUCUCUCUCUCUCUCUCUCUCUCUCUCUCUCUCUCUCUCUCUCUCUCUCUCUCUCUCUCUCUCCUUCUUUCCCUCCCUCUCUCUUUCUCUCCCUCUGUCCUCAGCCCUCUCUCUCCUUCCCCUUUCUGAUUUUCUUAAAUCUUAAAGCCACUUGAACUGAUAGCAUGAUCACUGUAGUGCCAGACAAAUAUGCAAAGAGUUUUUUCUUCCAUCCCUCAACUUGAAAGCAUGAGGCAAGUUAGUUUGAGAAUCAUAGCUUUAAACCUGGGUAGGGGGGAGAAAGGGGGGAGGGAGAAAUCUUAGAGAUCAUCUCAUCCAACCCCCCAUUUUAUAGUUAAGGAAACUGAGACAGAGACAUGGUAAGUGACUUGUCAGAUUCAUUUGACUUUCUGCCUUGCUAUAAGAACACAGUACUCUUUAAAUAGUUCUUUGCAUAGGAGGAAAUGUGGAUGCUGAAUUCUUU